GACGAACGCUGGCGGCGUGCUUAACACAUGCAAGUCGAACGGAAAGGCCCUGCUUUUGUGGGGUGCUCGAGUGGCGAACGGGUGAGUAACACGUGAGUAACCUGCCCUUGACUUUGGGAUAACUUCAGGAAACUGGGGCUAAUACCGGAUAGGAGCUCCUGCUGCAUGGUGGGGGUUGGAAAGUUUCGGCGGUUGGGGAUGGACUCGCGGCUUAUCAGCUUGUUGGUGGGGUAGUGGCUUACCAAGGCUUUGACGGGUAGCCGGCCUGAGCGGGUGACCGGCCACAUUGGGACUGAGAUAAGGCACAGACUCCUACGGGAGGCAGCAGUGGGGAAUAUUGCACUAUGGGCGGAAGCCUGAUGUAGCCACGCCGCGUGCGGGAUGACGGCCUUCGGGUUGUAAACCGCUUUCGCCUGUGACGAAGCGUGAGUGACGGUAACGGGUAAAGAAGCACCGGCUAACUCCGUG
rnacentral:rRNA from 1 species